UACGGGGGGGGCAAGCGUUGUUCGGAAUUACCGGGCGUAAAGGGCUCGUAGGCGGCCAACUAAGUCAGACGUGAAAUCCCUCGGCUUAACCGGGGAACUGCGUCUGAUACUGGAUGGCUUGAGUUCGGGAGAGGGAUGCGGAAUUCCAGGUGUAGCGGUGAAAUGCGUAGAUAUCUGGAGGAACACCGGUGGCGAAGGCGGCAUCCUGGACCGACACUGACGCUGAGGAGCGAAAGCCAGGGGAGCAAACGGG
rnacentral:rRNA from 1 species